UUGAUGAGCUAGGAUUCAAACCCACAUCAUGGUACUCCAACUACUCAGGCUGUCCCCUACAGCUCUUCCUCUCAAACUUUUGUAUGCAAAGACUCAUCUGGGAAUCCUGUUAAGAUACAGAUUCUGAUUCUAGCGGUAUGGGGUGGGGCCUAGAUUCUGCACUGCCAACGAUUUGUCACGUGACGAUGACCCCACUGGUCCUCAGACCCCAAUUUGAGUAGCAGGGAUGUGGAUAUUACAAUAGUUUUCCUGCUUCUACUUCUAAUCUCCUACAGUUUGGUUUCUCUACAGCGGCCUGAGUUAUUGUGUUCGUUUCCCCUGCUGCAUAGUAAGUGACCUCCCAAAAUUUGGCAGCUCACAAUGGCAAUGAACACUUAUCUCACACAGCUUCUGAGGCUCAGGAAUCCAGCUUUUGAUCUCUGAUGUAAAAAGAACAUGGCCUUGGCAGCUGCUGAUCUCAGAAGAAUGACAGACCCUGGACAAAACUACAUAGAACCCAACAGCCUAGAGCCAAGCGCAGCCAAACACAAUUUGGAACAGCUGAAAUCUGGCUGGUCUGCUGGCAUUGGACACAGCAAGAAGGCAGCCAUCUGCAAGCCAGGAAGAAGUUUUUC